AGAGGGGGCAAGCGUUGCUCGGAAUCACUGGGCGUAAAGGGCGCGUAGGCGGGAUGGCAAGUCGGUCGUGAAAUCCCUCGGCUCAACCGAGGAGCGUCGGCCGAUACUGCCGUUCUUGAGGGAUGCAGAGGAGACUGGAAUUCCCGGUGUAGCGGUGAAAUGUGUAGAGAUCGGGAGGAACACCGGUGGCGAAGGCGGGUCUCUGGGCAUCUCCUGACGCUGAGGCGCGAAAGCGUGGGGAGCAAACGGGAUUAGAUACCCCGGUAGUCCACGCUGUAAACGAUGACGACUAGGUGUGGGGUGGUUCAGUCCAUUCCGUGCCGCAGCUAACGCAUUAAGUCGUCCGCCUGGGGAGUACGGCCGCAAGGUUGAA
rnacentral:rRNA from 1 species